AUGAAGACCUCUUUGCUCCUUCUUCUCACCAUCUCAAUGGUUUAUUCAGCCAAAGGAAAAACUACACAACAAACAAUCCUAAGAGAAAUCAUGGCUCACGUGGAUGGCAUCCGUACACAAAAGGCUCAUGACCUGUGGAUAGAAGAUGUAGUGACUCUACGAAACUGCACGCGGAUGACCCUCUGCACAGCAGCGAAAGCUCUGGAAAAAUUCACAGCAGAGGACUUGGGACUGCAGGAAGCUGAGUGGAAACUGCCUCGGCUGCUGUACGCCUUCACACAAUUGCAGCACAACUGCCCAAAACCUGGAGACGUCUCUUCAGUUCCACUUUCCCAGCUGCUGCAGGCCAUACACAGCUGUGCCAAGAAGCAGUUCUCUUUACUAGCUCACUAA
ensembl:lncRNA